AUUGAACGCUGGCGGCAGGCCUAACACAUGCAAGUCGAACGAGUGGCGGACGUGUUACUAAUGUCUGUGAAACUGCCUGAUGGAUGGCGAUAACUACUGGACACGGUAGCUAAUACCGCAUACCAUCAGCUGUGCCCAGAUGGUAUUAGCUUGUGGGUGGGGUAACGGCUCACCAAGGCGACGAUCCCUACCUGGUCUGAGAGGAUGACCAGGCACACUGGAACUGAGACACGGUCCAGACUCCUACGGGAGGCAGCAGUGGGGAAUAUUGGACAAUGGGCGAAAGCCUGAUGCAGCCAUGCCGCGUGUAUGAAGAAGGUCUUCGGGUUGUAAAGUACUUUAAGCGGGGAGGCGUUACCCACAGAAGAAGCACCGGCUAACUCCGUGCCAGCAGCCGCGGUAAUAC
rnacentral:rRNA from 1 species